UGGGGAAUUUUGGACAAUGGGCGAAAGCCUGAUCCAGCCAUGCCGCGUGAGUGAAGAAGGCCUUCGGGUUGUAAAGCUCUUUUAGUCGGAAAGAAAGAGUCGCAAUGAAUAAUUGUGAUUUAUGACGGUACCGACAGAAAAAGCACCGGCUAACUACGUGCCAGCAGCCGCGGUAAUACGUAGGGUGCGAGCGUUAAUCGGAAUUACUGGGCGUAAAUGGUGCGCAGGCGGUUUUGCAAGUCAGAUGUGAAAGCCCCGGGCUUAACCUGGGAAUUGCGUUUGAAACUACAAGGCUAGAGUGCAGCAGAGGGGAGUGGAAUUCCAUGUGUAGCAGUGAAAUGCGUAGAGAUGUGGAAGAACACCGAUGGCGAAGGCAGCUCCCUGGGUUGACACUGACGCUCAUGCACGAAAGCGUGGGGAGCAAACA
rnacentral:rRNA from 1 species